CCUACGGGAGGCAGCAGUGAGGAAUAUUGGUCAAUGGGCUUACGCCUGAACCAGCCAAGUCGCGUGAGGGAAUACUGCCCUAUGGGUCGUAAACCUCUUUUGCCAGGGAGCAACGCCGGCGACGUGUACCCGGACUGAGAGUACCUGGAGAAAAAGCAUCGGCUAACUCCGUGCCAGCAGCCGCGGUAAUACGGAGGAUGCGAGCGUUAUCCGGAUUUAUUGGGUUUAAAGGGUGCGUAGGCGGACUGCUAAGUCAGCGGUAAAAAUGCGGGGCUCAACCGCGCUCCGCCGUUGAAACUGGCGGCCUUGAGUGGGCGAGAAGAAGGCGGAAUGCGUGGUGUAGCGGUGAAAUGCAUAGAUAUCACGCAGAACCCCGAUUGCGAAGGCAGCCUACCGGCGCCCAACUGACGCUGAAGCACGAAAGUGCGGGUAUCGAACAGGAUUAGAUACCCUUGUAGUC
rnacentral:rRNA from 1 species